rnacentral:rRNA from 1 species
AUACAGAGGGUGCGAGCGUUAAUCGGAAUUACUGGGCGUAAAGCGCGCGUAGGCGGCUUGGUCAGUCGGAUGUGAAAGCCCCGGGCUCAACCUGGGAAUGGCAUUCGAUACUGCCAGGCUAGAGUAUGGGAGAGGGAAGUGGAAUUUCCGGUGUAGCGGUGAAAUGCGUAGAUAACGGAAGGAACACCAGUGGCGAAGGCGACUUCCUGGCCCAAUACUGACGCUGAGGUGCGAAAGCGUGGGGAGCGAACAGGAUUAGAAACCCCGUAGUCC